rnacentral:rRNA from 1 species
GAUGAACGCUGGCGGCGUGCCUAACACAUGCAAGUCGAACGGACAGACGAGGAGCUUUCCUCUCUGAGGGUAGCGGCGGACAGGGGAGUAAAACGUGGCUAACCUUCCUAUCAGAUUGGGAUAACUUCGGCAAACCAGAGCCAAUUACGGAGAAUAUUCUGAACCGGAAGGCUGAAGAGUUUAGGACGGUUUGCUAGUCAAUCAGCGAUGGUCCCGCGCCGGAUUAGCUAGUUGGUAGGGUAACGGCUUACCAAGGCGACGAUGCGUAGCCGACCUGAGAGGGUGAUCGGCCACACUGGGACUGAGACACGGUCCAGACUCCUACGGGAGGCAGCAGUAGGGAAUCUUCGACAAAGGGGGAAAGCCUGACGGAGCAACGCCGCGUGGGUGAUGAAGGUCUUCGGAUCGUAAAGCUCUGUUGUUAGGGAAGAACAAGGGUGUAAGAAAAUAUGUGCGUGUUGACGGUACCUGAACAAGAAGCACCGGCUAACUACGUG